rnacentral:lncRNA from 1 species
GAUUACAUAGGAGUUAGUAUAUAAAUAAGGACAUGUCUCGCUUGUACAGCCAAUUUAGCAAUGUCUCGGUGGUCGACGGCCGCGUCCGCUUUUCGGUGGAUCGACGUCAGUGUCUCCCUCCCAACAUCGUUUUUCCGGUGGCCCAGGCUCUUCGCCUCGUAUUUGACGCCGACUUGGAGCAGUUUUUUCGACCUUAGUAGCUUCACCACCAGCUUCGAGCCGCGGCGUUUGGCUUCGCUUUUGCGAUUUCCAAAUCUGGAUUUCUCCAGCUUCUACAUCGUCGACACCGUCGUCUGGUCUGUCGUCUCCGCCGUAGAGUCCGUCGUGCUUGUGUCCUUCCUCUGCUUCUUCUUCGUCUUCUGUGGCUGCACCCUGUGAUAUGUCACAAUAAUAUAACUUCAAUGUGCUGUAUAGUUGCUACGGAAUGGUGAAUUUCCGACGGCCGGCGGGAAUUUUGAUGUGGGUUUUUGUGGUGAUCCAAUCAAGGCACUUCACUGCUUGUGACUGGACGAUCCUGAGGGUAAAUUUGUCUAUGUAAACAAUUUUCACUAAUAAUUUCUGUUCCAUUUUUUCUGCUUAAUUUUCACCUUUAUUUUUCUUACAAAUCAACUUUAUCUAAUUGAGAGUGUAGAAAAAGUAAAAUUAAAAUAAAUUUGGCUAUAUAACUAGAACUGGACAUGAGGUAUAUGGUUCCCGAUUUUAAGAUUCAGAAGCAUUUAUAGUUUAAUUAAAUUUAGUGCUGGUUUUAAAUUUACUUUCAUAAUUUUUCGUUUAAAUGAUUCAGAACUGUCUAAAUUUUGAAUAAAGCCAUUUAGCCAAGCUUCAAAACAAGGAGUGAGGACUUAAAAAUAGGGAGUGGAGAGAUAGAUUGUGGACUGAUGUGUUAGAAAAUGAAUGAGUGUUUUUGUUUUAAUUUUUUAAAUUGUCCAAUAAUGCGUCGACACGUGUUGUGUACCUCCUCUCCCCCACGCCAAAAAGAAAUAAAAUGUGGAUUUGAGUUUGAAUGUGCAGUAUGAUUGUUAAGUUUUAGUUAGAAUAGAAUUAAGGGACCGAUUCAAUCUGGUUGUAAUUCGUCGAGCCUAGAGAUACUAGAAACUAGAGAUACUAGAAAUAAAUUGGACUUCGCUACAUGAUUUAUGGAUUGAAACCUCCAAUAGUAUUAGCAAAUAUUAAUUUUCUAAUAGUAUUAGAUAAUAAUUAGAAACAUAUUUAUUUUUGUGGUUUUGUACCUUUAUCAAUCAUAUUAGUCUUUGAUUAAAUGUUGUCUUUUGACUAAUUAUCAUAUAUUUUUCCAUAUAUUUUGUCCCUUUUCCAUUCUAUGUACAUUGAAAAAGGACGACAUGAUCUAGGUCUACCCGAACCCGAUGAAGAAAAUGGUAUCACUUCUUAAAUGACUAAUGUUUCAUUCUAUGUAGAUUUGUGACUUUGAAUUGAAUCGAUUGUAUUCCUUUAGUCAUUGUGCUUUUUGUGUGAGAUACCUUUCGUGAUGAAAAAUAAAUUGGUAAUAAUUCUUUUUCUUAUUUUAUUCGUUAAUUACUAUAUUUGAUGCUCAAUUCGUAGAAAAUAUUUGAAAAUCUUUUUAAAUUGAACAAGUAUAUAUAUUCGUCUCACUUGCUCAAGCUAGAUGAGUAGAUCAAAAAAUAAAAAGUUAUUGGAGAAUCAAGACACAAGUGACUUCAUGAAGAUAAAAGUGUUGUAAAGUUAUACACCUUGUUGUUGAGGUGUCCACGGAUAUUUGUAUGGUCCCUUCUCCAAUCUCAUAAAUAUGCCAAAGUUUUUCAUCCCAGAACAAAAUUCAAAAAAUAAAUAAAUUAAGGGUGUGCUCGAUACAGAAGAACAAAUUUUGUUGUACGUUCGUCUUCUUUUACAUAUCCAUGCAUCAUCCAGGUAUUAAUAGCUUGUUUGAAAAGGUGUAUUAAAAAAGAAAAAUACAUUAAAGUCUCUUUUAGUGCUAUAUUUCUGCUUUUCUUCUUUUGAUAUUUGUUUGAUUAAAUGUAAAUAUAUUAAUUAGCAUAUAUAUUUUAAUUGAACGAUCAUAUUUCACAAUUAAUUUUCUUAAACGACACACGAUCAUAGAUGUUUGCUAAGAAAGUAUAUUCCAUAAAUACUAUUUUCUCAGUCAACAUUUUAUACCCUUCAAUUUGAAACAAAUCCUAAAAGUCUAGCGUGCCCUGAUUUUUUGAUGCUCAAAUCCACAAGCAGUUGGUCAUUCUUUGAACUUCUUGUAUCCCUGACCAAUAAAUUUAUGUUUAAAUAUUAAGAUAAAUUCCUUCAGGGUUCUAACCUUUAUUAAGUGUGAUAGUCAUGUUCUUAACUUUUCAUAUGCGCACAGUAUCCCACCUGAUUGAAAACGCCUAUUUAGAUGUUAAAAUAAAAAUCAAACUGAAAGGUUAUACUUGCCUAAGAAGUAGCAAAGUUUUUGAACAUUCAUCGUUUAGUUUUCAGAAUAAAGAUUUUAUUUGAACAAUUUUAUCAUCUCAACCGGAGUCGCGGAUGAAUUUACGUGAAUAGGGGCGGAGCCAUAUACGGUUGAGUGGAGGCCAAUGCCUGCACUCAACUUUGAACUGCCCCUAUGCCCCAGUUAAAGAAUUGCCACUGUUUUCCAUCGGAAUUGGAGAAGGACCUGGUAGGGGAAGAAGAAAUUUGGAAAAUGAAGGGCGGUACGGGGUUUCAUCAUGCUCCUUUGCAAUAAAGAGACGAUGGAAAGGUUUGGUCAUGGCUGUUUUGGGUCUCGUGUUUCUUUCCAUGUUGGUUCCUAAACAACUUUUAUAAGCAUUUUACAAGUCACUUUGUUAUAAAGAAAUUUUUUUUUACACUUCAAAUUUGACCGUAAAUUAUGCUCGCACUGAAAAUUUUUUCUAGCUCCGCCCCUGGACAUGAAUGCCAUAAAUAAAAGCUUGAGGAUAUAACUGGGGCACUUACGAAAAGUGAAGAACCUUUGGAGAAAUUUACCCCGAAAUAUUAUUCAUUUUGUAUUAAACUCAACAUCAAAAUUUUCAAUUCCAAACAAUUCGGCCACAUUACUUGCCUGCUUUGAUAAUCUACUUGUAAUAGUGUAAAGUUCACACUUUAUGAUUAAUGAAGAACCUGACAAUGUCACACCCUUAUCUAACAAUAUAUUAAGAGUCGACUAUUUCAGUACUGAUGCUCAAACCAGCUUCAAGAUCACUUUGUCACCUCGUUUCAAAGCUUAAAUUCAUAUCCAACAAUCUUCAUUCUUAUACUAGAUGAUGAACUGUGCAUUCCAUAUCUCCAUGUCUGCCAGAAUAUUUUGCACUGUCUUUCUAGUUCUAACCUUUUAUUCUGCCAUUGCGUUUAAGGAGUACUAAUCUCACGAGUCUCGAGUUUUUUAGUAUUGCUAGAAAUCAGAUUACUGGAUCCAUUCCUCUUUGCGUCGAAUAUUGCAUAUUUAAUCCUCACACAGAAUCAACUAAGUGGAGUAGUGCCUAAUCUCGGAAAUUUUGCAUGAGCUUUGAAGAUUAGUCCUUACGACGAAUAUUCUUGGAAAUGGAAAAGCUAAUGAUUUGAGCUUCAUUUCAUCUUUGAUCAAUGCUACAAACUUAGGAAUCUUGGCUGUAAAGAUAACAAUUUCAAUAGCAAAUCUUUUGACUAUGCUUUCGCUUCUAUAUUUAGACAGUAACCGGAUUUCUGGAAGGAUCCAGGAUGGAAUAUCGUGCUAGACCAACUUGAAGCCCUCGAAAUGUGGAAAAACGAACUCAAAGGUGAAAUCCCGACUUCCAUGGGGAUGCUAAAGAACUUGAAACGGUUGAUAUUAAAUCAAAACAGACUCUCAGGCAAUAUUCCUUCCGGUAUAGGAAACUUAACUAUGUUAUUUCACCUUCAUUUUGUAAAAAAAAAAAAAAAAAAUCUCUUUUCGGGAAGCAUCCCUCCGAGUUUGGGAAACCUGCAUAAUUGCAAUCAUUGGACAUUGUUGGAGUCGAACCCUGUUCUCUACAUGUGGUGCUUUCAGAAUUUGAAUUGUGGCAAAAUUGUGUUUAUAUGAAACACGACUUAAUGAGUGGUGACAACUUUAUUGGAUAACCAACACGUGGAUUAACUCUGGAUGUUGGAUGGAGCAGGUUCAUAUGCCCUUCUUUAAAAGGCCCAGAGUCUUCUGGAACGUCUGAAUUUUUCACUCUUCGUUUGCUUUCGACUCUAGGGUUUUCAGAGAUAAAAAAUGGCGAUUUGAGAGAUGAUCAUUUCCUUGAGUGUUUCAUGCUUAAAAUUUCUGAUUUUAUGUAUAGGAUAGUGAUUCGAUCUGUAAUAUUCUGUGUGAAUAGUGAAGAAAUUUGAGUGAUUUCUCUGUUAUAACUUCGUGAUGAUGUUCGAAGGGUUUGAGGGCUGAGAUCUGAGUAAAUCUCUGUAGAUCCAUCACUAUACUUGAGAGAUAAGUCUCAUUUUCACCUCUCUGAACAAUCUGUAAUUCUUGUUGCCAUUUUGGGCUGCUUAGUGCAACCGAGCAUAAUCCAAAUCUUUGGAUGCUCAAUGGGGGAUGUAGGCGUUAGAAGUGGUCGCCGAACCUCUGGGGCUUAGGCCGAAAUAAUUCAUUUGUGUUCAUUUUUAAUUUCUUGCAAUUUUAUUUUUGUUUGAUUAAAGGUUUUCUUGUUUCUUGAAUUUAACAUCGUGUGAUCCUGCCUUUACAGUGGUAUCAGAGCCACGAUCUAAGGAACAAGAUACCUAGAUCUUAGAGAAACUGGUGGACCUGCAUGAGUCUUGAAUCUUUGGAACUGCUGAAAAAGCAGAUUGAGGACAACUCGAGUUAUUUAACUCGCUCGGAGAGAUCUUUUCAAUUUUUCUGUACAUUAACUUCCAGAAAUUUUGUUUCUUGAACUUUUCCUUGAUUUUCGGCACACCGUUGAAACCCCCUUGAAACGAAUCUUUGUCCAGUGGCUCCUGUGAGGUCCCUGGAAUUUGAGAUAAAUCAAGUACGUGUGUGUACUUAGAAAAUCUUGCUGGAGGGAUCUGUGAAACCUCAUAUUCAAUCUUUGUGAUUGUUGUCUGUUAAUUGAUCUUGCCCGUUCUCUUCUAAUAUUGCAAGAAUUGUGAAAUCAU